rnacentral:rRNA from 1 species
GACGAACGCUGGCGGCGUGCCUAAUACAUGCAAGUCGAACGCAGUUGUGACGGGUGAGUAACACGUGGGUAACCUCCCAUCAGAGGGGAAAACACUUGGAAACAGGUGCUAAACCGAUACUGAUGGAUGAACCCGCGGUGCAUUAGCUAGUUGGUGAGGUAACGGCUCACCAAGGCCACGAUGCAUAGCCGACCUGGGAGGGUGAUCGGACACACUGGGACUGAGACACGGCCCAGACUGCUACGGGAGGAAGGAGUGGGGAAUCUAGGGCAAUGGACGAAAGUCUGACCGAGCAACACCGGGUAAGUG